rnacentral:RNase_P_RNA from 1 species
UUGUGAGAGCAGGUAUCUACGUCAUAGUAAUAUGGUGAGGAAAGUCUGGACAUCAAGAAAACAGCCCUAAAGCUAACGGCUUUGAAACGAGUAUAAUUCAUAAAGCUCGUUGACGGAUAGUGCCACAGAGACAAUACUAAUCUUGCUUGCAAGAUGAAAGGUGAAAAGAUAUUUGAUGUAAGUGAUUGCUACAAAUAUUCCCUUCUGGUGACAGAAGGAGUUUGGUAAACCCAGGGUGAUGCAAUGGGAAUGGUUGUGUGAAAUGUUAUUGUUUUCUAUUGCAUUGAAACAUAAUACCCAGCUAGAGCGUAUCAGUGAUGAUGCGCCCAGAUAGAUUGAUACCGAAGUACAAAAUCCGGCUUAUUACUCUCACAUUUUU